CAUGAAUAACGGGGGCAGGACCCAAUGUGCGCGUACUCCGCGUACCUUGACCUGCCCUGUCUGAUUCUACCCAUGUCUUUUGCGUACUCAUUGUUUCCUCGGUGGGCUUGCCUGCCGCUAGGACACUUUAAAAACCUUUUGUAAUUGCAAUCAGCGUCAGAAAUAACUUAAUAGUUA
rnacentral:misc_RNA from 1 species